rnacentral:rRNA from 1 species
UACGUAGGCAGCAAGCGUUGUUCGGAGUUACUGGGCGUAAAGGGUGCGUAGGCGGCCCUGUAAGUAUGGUGUGAAAUCUCCCGGCCUAACUGGGAGGGGUCGCCCCAGACUGGGGGUCUUGAGGACAGCAGAGGUGGGUGGAAUUCCUGGUGUAGUGGUGAAAUGCGUAGAGAUCAGGAGGAACACCGGUGGCGAAGGCGGCCCACUGGGCUGUCACUGACGCUGAGGCGCGAAAGCUCGGGGAGCGAACGGG